UGGGGAAUAUUGCACAAUGGGCGAAAGCCUGAUGCAGCAACGCCGCGUGCGGGAUGACGGCCUUCGGGUUGUAAACCGCUUUCAGCAGGGACGAAGGUUUUCUGACGGUACCUGCAGAAGAAGCACCGGCUAACUACGUGCCAGCAGCCGCGGUGAUACGUAGGGUGCGAGCGUUGUCCGGAAUUAUUGGGCGUAAAGAGCUUGUAGGCGGUCCGUUGCGUCGGAAGUGAAAACUCAGGGCUUAACCCUGAGCCUGCUUUCGAUACGGGCGGACUUGAGGGAUGUAGGGGAGAACGGAAUUCCUGGUGGAGCGGUGGAAUGCGCAGAUAUCAGGAGGAACACCAGUGGCGAAGGCGGUUCUCUGGACAUUUCCUGACGCUGAGAAGCGAAAGCGUGGGGAGCAAAACAGGCUUAGAUACCCUGGUAGUCCACGCCGUAAACGGUGGGCACUAGGUGUGGGACCCAUUCCACGGGUUCCGUGCCGUAGCUAACGCAUUAAGUG
rnacentral:rRNA from 1 species